AGCGAACGCUGGCGGCAGGCCUAACACAUGCAAGUCGAGCGGCCGUAGCAAUACGGCAGCGGCAGACGGGAGAGUAACACGUGGGAACGCGCCCUUCGGUCUGGAAUAACCCAGGGAAACUUGGGCUAAUACCGGAUACGCCCUUACGGGGAAAGAUUUAUUGCCGAAGGAACGGCCCGCGUCCGAUUAGCUAGUUGGUGAGGUAACGGCUCACCAAGGCGACGAUCGGUAGCUGGUCUGAGAGGAUGACCAGCCUCACUGGGACUGAGACACGGCCCAGACUCCUACGGGAGGCAGCAGUGGGGAAUAUUGGACAAUGGGCUCAAGCCUGAUCCAGCCAUGCCGCGUGGGUGAUGAAGGCCCUAGGGUUGUAAAGCCCUUUCAGCGGGGAAGAUAAUGACGGUACCCGCAGAAGAAGCCCCGGCUAACUUCGUGCCAGCAGCCGCCGUAACAC
rnacentral:rRNA from 1 species